AUGCAUCGCGCCGCCGGCCUCGACCUGGGCCUCGGCCUCGGCCUCGGGCUCGCCUCGCAGGGCAGCCUCACGUCCUCCACCACCACCGCCUCCUCCUCCCCGGCCUCGCACUGGACAGCCGCGCUCAGCUCCGUCGUCGGCGCGCAGGAGUCGUACGGGCUGCACCAGUAUGCCGGGCAGCCGCGGAAGGAGGAGCCGGGCAUGAGGACGUCCACGUCGCCCGAGAGCGGCGUCAGCGCCGGGACCAAGAGGGGCCUGGAGCGCACGGGCUCCGGCGUCUCCCGCGGCGGCGCCGCCACCGCGGGCAGCGACGAGGACGACGACGGCGGCGACGGCGCCGGCGGCCGCAAGAAGCUCCGGCUCUCCAAGGACCAGGCCGCCGUCCUGGAGGAGUGCUUCAAGACGCACAGCACGCUCAACCCCAAGCAGAAGACUGCGCUGGCUAACCGGCUGGGGCUGCGGCCGCGGCAGGUGGAGGUGUGGUUCCAGAACCGCCGCGCCCGCACCAAGCUGAAGCAGACGGAGGUGGACUGCGAGUACAUGAAGCGCUGGUGCGAGCAGCUCGCCGAGCAGAACAAGCGCCUCGAGAAGGAGGUGGCCGAGCUCAGGGCGCUCAAGGCCGCGCCCGCCCAGCAGGCCUCCCCGGCCGCCACGCUCACCAUGUGCCCCUCCUGCCGCCGCGUCGCCGCCGCCGGACCGUCCGCCACGCAGCACCAGCACCAGCAACUGCAGCAGUGCCACCCCAAGCCCCAUGCCCAGCCCGCCGGCAACGUCCUGCCCAGCCACUGCCAGUUCUUCCCGUCCACCACCGCCGCCGCCCCCGACCGGUCCGGCAGGCUGCAGGGCGCGUGGAACGGCGCCGCGCAGCCGCUGGUCACCAGAGAGCUCUUCUGA
rnacentral:rRNA from 1 species